rnacentral:rRNA from 1 species
UACGUAGGGGGCAAGCGUUGUCCGGAUUUAUUGGGCGUAAAGAGCGUGUAGGCGGCCAGACAAGUCCGUUGUGAAAACUCGAGGCUCAACCUCGGGAUGUCGAUGGAAACCGUCUGGCUAGAGUCCGGAAGAGGAGUGUGGAAUUCCUGGUGUAGCGGUGAAAUGCGCAGAUAUCAGGAAGAACACCUAUGGCGAAGGCAGCACUCUGGGACGGUACUGACGCUGAGACGCGAAAGCGUGGGGAGCGAACAGG